rnacentral:rRNA from 1 species
CCUUCAAUCAAUGAAAUUAAUCUUCCUGUGAAAAAGCAGGAAUAAAAUUAUAAGACGAAAAGACCCUAUGGAGCUUUAAACUUAUUACCACUUAUUUAGUUACAUAACAAUUUAAAUAAUAAGACUGUUCUUUAAUAGUUUUCGGUUGGGGCGACCCUGGAGAAAAAUAAAUCCUCCAGAUUGAAAAAUAACCCUUAUAUAAGAACUACAAUUCAAAUAAACAAAAAUUUGACAAAACUGACCCAGAAUAACUGAUCAGUGAACCAAGUUACCCUAGGGAUAACAGCGCUAUCCAUUUUGAGAGUCCGUAUUGACAAAUGGGUUUACGACCUCGAUGUUGGAUCGGGGUAUCCCAGCAGCGCAGCAGUUGCUAAUGGUUCGUUUGUUCAACGACUAACACCCCACGUGAUCUGAGUUCAAACMRGAUC